UGAGGAAUCUUGCGCAAUGGAGGAAACUCUGACGCAGCCACGCCGCGUGCCGGAAGACGGCCCUAUGGGUUGUAAACGGCUUUUAUUUGGGAAGAACCUGGGGGAUUUGUCCCUCACUGACGGUACCAAUUGAACAAGCACCGGCUAACUCCGUGCCAGCAGCCGCGGUAAUACGGAGGGUGCAAGCGUUGUCCGGAAUCAUUGGGUGUAAAGGGUGCGCAGGCGGGCGCCUAAGUCGGAGGUGAAAUCUUGCCGCUUAACGGUAAAAUGGCCUCUGAUACUGGGUGUCUUGAAUCUGACAGAGGUCGGUGGAAUUCGUAGUGUAGCGGUGAAAUGCAUAGAUAUUACGAAGAACAUCCGUGGCGAAGGCGGCCGGCUGGGUCAGCAUUGACGCUGAGGCACGAGAGCGUGGGGAGCGAACAGGAUUAGAUACCCCCGUAGUCC
rnacentral:rRNA from 1 species